UCCGUGUUAACCACGGCAGUCUCUUACGAGUCCCCGCCAUUACGCGCUGGCAACAUAAGAAAAGGGUUGCGCUCGUUGCGGGACUUAACCCAACAUCUCACGACACGAGCUGACAACAGCCAUGCACCACCUGUGUAGAGCCCCGAAGGACACCACAUCUCUGUGGCUUUUCUCUACAUGUCAAACCCAGGUAAGGUUCUUCGCGUUGCAUCGAAUUAAGCAACAUGCUCCGCUGCUUGUGCGGGUCCCCGUCAAUUCCUUUGAGUUUUAGCCUUGCGGCCGUACUCCCCAGGCGGGUGCUUAAUGCGUUAGCUUCGGCACGGACGGGGUUGAUAUCCGCCCACACCUAGCACCCAACGUUUACGGCUAGGACUAC
rnacentral:misc_RNA from 1 species